UCGAUGCACAGACCUGGGAUCAUGGGAUUUUAGCCAAAUUCCUUUGUUUAGGCCUCCGAAUAAUUAAACUCAAAAACCCAUUCUCAGUUCGGAUUGUAGGAUGCAACUUACCUGCAUGAAGCCAGAAUCGCUAUUAAUCACUGAUCAGCCAUAUAGUGAUGAAUUC
rnacentral:rRNA from 1 species